GACGAACGCUGGCGGCGUGCUUAACACAUGCAAGUCGAACGGAAAGGCCCUGCUUUUGUGGGGUGCUCGAGUGGCGAACGGGUGAGUAACACGUGAGUAACCUGCCCUUGACUUUGGGAUAACUUCAGGAAACUGGGGCUAAUACCGGAUAGGAGCUCCUGCUGCAUGGUGGGGGUUGGAAAGUUUCGGCGGUUGGGGAUGGACUCGCGGCUUAUCAGCUUGUUGGUGGGGUAGUGGCUUACCAAGGCUUUGACGGGUAGCCGGCCUGAGAGGGUGACCGGCCACAUUGGGACUGAGAUACGGCCCAGACUCCUACGGGAGGCAGCAGUGGGGAAUAUUGCACAAUGGGCGGAAGCCUGAUGCAGCAACGCCGCGUGCGGGAUGACGGCCUUCGGGUUGUAAACCGCUUUCGCCUGUGACGAAGCGUGAGUGACGGUAAUGGGUAAAGAAGCACCGGCUAACUACGUGCCAGCAGCCGCGGUGAUACGUAGGGUGCGAGCGUUGUCCGGAUUUAUUGGGCGUAAAGGGCUCGUAGGUGGUUGAUCGCGUCGGAAGUGUAAUCUUGGGGCUUAACCCUGAGCGUGCUUUCGAUACGGGUUGACUUGAGGAAGGUAGGGGAGAAUGGAAUUCCUGGUGGAGCGGUGGAAUGCGCAGAUAUCAGGAGGAACACCAGUGGCGAAGGCGGUUCUCUGGGCCUUUCCUGACGCUGAGGAGCGAAAGCGUGGGGAGCGAACAGGCUUAGAUACCCUGGUAGUCCACGCUGUAAACGGUGGGUACUAGGUGUGGGGUCCAUUCCACGGGUUCCGUGCCGUAGCUAACGCUUUAAGUACCCCGCCUGGGGAGUACGGCCGCAAGGCUAAAACUCAAAGGAAUUGACGGGGCCCCGCACAAGCGGCGGAGCAUGCGGAUUAAUUCGAUGCAACGCGUAGAACCUUACCUGGGUUUGACAUGGAUCGGGAGCGCUCAGAGAUGGGUGUGCCUCUUUUGGGGUCGGUUCACAGGUGGUGCAUGGCUGCCGUCAGCUCGUGUCGUGAGAUGUUGGGUUAAGUCCCGCAACGAGCGCAACCCUUGUUCACUGUUGCCAGCACGUUAUGGUGGGGACUCAGUGGAGACCGCCGGGGUCAACUCGGAGGAAGGUGGGGAUGACGUCAAGUCAUCAUGCCCCUUAUGUCCAGGGCUUCACGCAUGCUACAAUGGCUGGUACAGAGAGUGGCGAGCCUGUGAGGGUGAGCGAAUCUCGGAAAGCCGGUCUCAGUUCGGAUUGGGGUCUGCAACUCGACCUCAUGAAGUCGGAGUCGCUAGUAAUCGCAGAUCAGCAACGCUGCGGUGAGUACGUUCCCGGG
rnacentral:rRNA from 1 species